rnacentral:pre_miRNA from 1 species
AAUAUAUUUUCCUGUUCAACAAAAGAUGUCUCAAGUUUGUUAAAAUUUGAAUGUAUCUAGACAUGACUUAGUGUAUAGAUGCAUUCAAAUUUGGUCAAAGUUGAGACAUCAUUUGUUGGAAGGAGAAAGUAUAUU